CGGAGUGGACGAGACGGUCGCUCCCGAAUCCGUCAAGGAAGAGGGGGAGGAAAGUCCGGACUCCGCAGGGCAGGGUGGUCGCUAACGACGACCCCGGGCGACCGGAGGGAAAGUGCCACAGAAAACACACCGCCCGCCAGGGCAAGGGUGAAAUGGCGAGGUAAGAGCUCACCGCCCCGGUGGUGACAUCGGGGGCAGGGCAAACCCCACCCGGAGCAAGGCCAAACGUGCCCCCCAUGGGAUCGCCCGUCCCGGGGGCGGGUCGGCCGCUGGAUCCCGCGGGCAACCGCGGGGCUAGACAAAUGACCGUCCCCGGCGCUUCGGCGCCGGGAACAGAAUCCGGCUUAUGGGCCGCUCCGGCCG
rnacentral:RNase_P_RNA from 1 species